ACUCCGUACGGAGGCAGCAGGUGGGAAUAUUGCACAAUGGGGAACCUGAUGCAGCCAUGCCGCGUGUGUGAAGAAGGCCUUCGGGUUGUAAAGCACUUUCAGUAGGGAGGAAGGUAGUGUAGUUAACACCUGCAUUAUUUGACGUUUACCUACAGAAGAAGCACCGGCUAACUCCGUGCCAGCAGCCGCGGUAAUACGGAGGGUGCGAGCGUUAAUCGGAAUUACUGGGCGUAAAGCGCAUGCAGGCGGCCUGUUAAGUCAGAUGUGAAAGCCCGGGGCUUAACCUCGGAAUUGCAUUUGAAACUGGCAGGCUAGAGUCUUGUAGAGGGGGGUGA
rnacentral:rRNA from 1 species